AAUGAACGUUGGCGGCGUGGAUUAGGCAUGCAAGUCGCGCGAGAAGCUUCCUUCGGGAAGUGGAAAGCGGCGAAAGGGAGAGUAACGCGUGGAUAUCAACCCUCAGGUCUGGGAUAGCCGCGGGAAACUGCGGGUAAUACCGGAUAAUAUCUCCGGAUCAAAGCUCCGGCGCCUGAGGACGAGUCCGCGUCCUAUUAGCUUGUUGGUGGGGUAAUGGCCUACCAAGGCUACGAUGGGUACCGGGCGUGAGAGCGUGACCCGGCUCACUGGGACUGAGACACUGCCCAGACACCUACGGGUGGCUGCAGUCGAGAAUCUUCGGCAAUGGACGCAAGUCUGACCGAGCGACGCCGCGUGUGGGAUGAAGGCCUUCGGGUUGUAAACCGCUGUCAGAGGAAGAAUUUUGACUGAACCUCAGAGGAAGUCCGGGCUAAGUUCGUGCCAGCCGCCGCGGUAA
rnacentral:rRNA from 1 species